rnacentral:rRNA from 1 species
UCCGGGCCCUACGGGGCGCAGCAGGCGCGAAACCUUUACACUGCACGCGAGUGCGAUAGGGGGACUCCAAGUGCGAGGGCAUACAGUCCUCGCUUUUCACCACCGUAAGGAGGUGGUAGAAUAAGUGCUGGGCAAGACCGGUGCCAGCCGCCGCGGUAAUACCGGCAGCACGAGUGAUGACCGCUAUUAUUGGGCCUAAAGCGUCCGUAGCCGGCCGGGCAAGUCCAUCGGGAAAUCCGCACGCCUAACGUGCGGGCGUCCGGUGGAAACUGCUUGGCUUGGGACCGGAAGAUCCAGAGGGUACGUCUGGGGUAGGAGUGAAAUCCUGUAAUCCUGGACGGACCACCGGUGGCGAAAGCGCUCUGGAAAGACGGAUCCGACGGUGAGGGACGAAAGCUUGGGUCACGAACCGGAUUAGAUACCCGGGUAGUCCAAGCUGUAAACGAUGUCUGCUAGGUGUGGCACAGGCUACGAGCCUGUGCUGUGCCGUAGGGAAGCCGUGAAGCAGACCGCCUGGGAAGUACGUCUGCAAGGAUGAAACUUAAAGGAAUUGGCGGGG